AUAGGAAAGAUGAUCUGAUCUAUGGGUGUCAAGGAGGGUGGGAGCCUUGGUUUGAUGGGUCAUGUCUCACAGGCUAUGGAUGAUAGUGGAGGCAGAAUUCUUUGCCAGAGCUCAAUGAUUCCAUACGGCCAGAGCUCAUUCCACCACUUCAGUACCAAAUUGAUGGAAUUACAUUUCAGAACCAUCAAUCGGCGAUGAAUGUUUAAAUGCUCAGCAAAAUUGAAAAGAACGAAGAGAAAUAACUGGAUCGGCACGAGAAAGUAUUGGAUCGUCACGAGAAAGAACUGGAUCGGCACGCUAAAUCAAUGACAUUGAUAGAGAAGUUGCAGGAGCAACAUAAAUCGAUUGAGCAGUCCCACAUAUCAAAUUCCCAAGUAUUUCAGAGGGUGGCAUUGGUGGAUUCAAAAGCUUUGGUUUCUUCAUUUUUGGGAUGGUAGGACUAGGAAAGAUAAUACCAGCAGUGUUUUGGUAGUGAUUUCCCUAGCUCGGGGAAAUUUCUUGGCUUGCAGUCGGCUUCUUUGCGUGAUUGCAUCCUUGGAUUUGCUAGUUCAUCCUUCUCAGCUUGUCUGUUGGAACUUCUGUGUUUUUUUGUUAUUUUGGAUGUUCUUUUUUUGGUUGCGAGCCCUCCUUGUGUUUCAUCUGUGUUGGCAAUAUCAUCCAUUGGUGCCAACUUUUAUAUUCCUUGUUCUGUGGUCCUUACGACGAGAGAGAUGAUUAUCAAAUUGAGAUUGAAGCAAGAGGGAAACAAAGAACUUAGAGAGGGAAAACACCAAAGAUACUGUUGAUUAGGGUUGUCUGGUCCCAGGUCUCAAUGAUUUGGAUUUGGUCUCUUUCCAUCUCAUGGAACGGAA